GGAGGAAAAGAAACUAACUAGGAUUCCCCCAGUAACUGCGAGUGAAGAGGGAAGAGCUCAUCAUUGGAAUCUGGCAGUGUUGCACUGUCCGAGUUGUAGAUGAGGAGUAGUCCAUCUGGACUGCAUGGCGUCCAAGUACAAUAGGCCGUCAGUGGGACAUCAUAGAGGGUGACAAUCCCGUCCUUGAUGCCAAUGUGCAAGUCCGUUACGAUGGCUAUCUCAGAGAGUCGAGCAGUUUGGGAUUUGCUGCUUAAACAUGGGAGGUAGAUUCCUUCUAAAGCUAAAUACAGGCGAGAGACCGAUAGAGAACAAGUACCGCAAGGGAAAGAUGAAAUAGCACUCUGUGAAGGGAGUCAAAAGGCGUGAAAUUGUUGCGAGAGAAGCGAUUCAAGUCAGCGUAGCUAGGCCCAUCAAGCGUCUCGCUUUGGACUAGCUUUGCCAGCGGUCUUGUCCUUUAGAGAGAGAGAGACUUGACU
rnacentral:rRNA from 1 species